ensembl:lncRNA
GAAAGGGAAGUCGCUCAGUCGUGUCCGACCCUCAGCGACCCCAUGGACUGCAGCCAUCCAUCAUCAUAUAACCUGUAAGUGUUGAAGAUGGGAGAAAUACCACACAUAGGACUAUUUUGCUGAUGCUACUGUUGCUAAGCCGCUUCAGUUAUGUCUGACUCUGUGUGACCUCAUAGAAGGCAGUCCACCAGGCUCCUCCAUCCAUGGGAUUUUCCAUGCAAGAGUACUGGAGUGGGGUGCCAUCGCCUUCUCUAAGAACAUCUUAAUAUUGCAUCUAUUCUUAGCACAGUUGUCAGUCAGGCACAGGUGAAGGCAAAGAGGAGCACUCAGAGUUUCUUACAACCCCACAGAUAAUAGAAACAUCCAUGAACAGCCAAGGACAUGAGAACACAUUGUCUGCAUGUGACUCUAUCACCAAAGUCCUCAGUCUCCCAUCUCCCAGACUGAGCACUGAUGUUUCAUAUAUUUUCCAAGGGAAAGGCUCAUCCCAAAAGUCAGGUCUGCUAAGAGUCCCAGGAUGUGAGUCAAGAAGCGGACAGCUACUGGAGAAUAAAGUUCAUUGCAGUUCAAAGCUUUGCCAUAGGGACUUAUUCCACCAGAUACAUGGGCAAAACCAUGGGAUAGAAAUAAUGUAUAUUCAGGAAAACAGAAAUCACCAGGAGCAGUGCAGAGUGAAACAGGAAGACCAGAAGUAAUGAGAGCAAAAAAAAAUAAACAGAAGAAGAAAGGUUUAGGGAUGGUAUCACGUAUACAGCUAGUCUAACCACCACAUACAGAAAAGGAAAUUUGGGACAGAUGGCUGCAACCACUUAGCUCAGUUAGCAAAACCCAGCCAUUUCUUCCCCAAGGAUGUCCUGAAACCUACUAGAUGACAGAAGCAUUGGAUCCAGAUCAUAGAGCACAAGACGCUGGAAGAGAGACACGAAAACGAAGUGUUCAAUGCUAUGAUGGACAAAAACAAAAUCUGACCCUUGUAAAGACUGGAACAACUACAAUCAAAACCUCUGCAUGAAGCCGUGACACAGUCGACAGUGAUGAAUAUCUGCAUUGAUCACGUUCCCUUAACAAUAAUCUUCUGUCCUCUAGUUGAGGCUGAAGAAGGCAAAAUUGGAGGGCUAAAAAUGGAAACCAACAAAUGUCCUGCUCCUUUGUUAAAUAACACUGGAAUCCUGUGAGCUUUUCAUCUCAACAUAAAAUACUGUUGAGAAUGAGUAGAAAUAAGCUGG